GCAGUGGUGGUUCAGUGGUAAAAUCCUCGCUUUCUAUGUGGGAGACCCAGGUUCGAUUCCUGGUCAAUGCA